rnacentral:rRNA from 1 species
UUGGAGGGCAAGUCUGGUGCCAGCAGCCGCGGUAAUUCCAGCUCCAAUAGCGUAUAUUAAAGUUGUUGCAGUUAAAAAGCUCGUAGUUGAAUUUCGGAAUCGACGGAUUGGUCGCGCCUUCGGUGUGUACUGGUCUUGCCGGUUUCUCCCUUCUGACGAACCACGAUGUCAUUAAUUUGGUGUCGUGGGGAAUCAGGACUGUUACUUUGAAAAAAUUAGAGUGUUUAAAGCAGGCAUUAGCUUGAAUACAUUAGCAUGGAAUAAUGAAAUAGG